rnacentral:misc_RNA from 1 species
GUUGGGACUCUACAAUUUUCUUCUAAACCGUGUAUUUCAGCCUCUUUGAUCGUGUAAGCCUUUGGACCUUGGUGACCUCUUGCGCGGCCAGGCUGUGUGAUUGUCUCAAUUCUCACGGCUUGGUGUUGUGGCUUUCUGCAUCGUGAGCCCUUAUUCAAUAUCUUCUCAGUAGAGUAUACGAUUUUGAACACGACCGUAGGACUAGAACUGUUUGACGUACUGGACACUCUGUCACACCAUAUUAGGCAGUGGCCCUAACAACACAAUUUAAAGCUUUAAACCAUCAAAAUAACAACAAGAAGAAGAAAAUCCAUAAGGGGAUAGAAAACCACAUGACAUUCAGAUACAGGCUUCAACAUCCAGGCUUCCCUUGAGCUGUAAGUUUAAUUUUGUAUGAAAUUGAACAUUAGCUUCUUCUCACUGCAACAAAUAUUGAAAUUAAUAAUAAAAAAAUUAACAAUGACAUUAAUUUUGCUGUUAUAAAGUUAAUAUGCAGCAUCAACAUGAAUAAUUGCUGCUAAUGGUACAUAAAAAAGAUGUAUCAGCAAUUGUUAUUCAUUUUUUAUUACCAUUGAUAAACUUUUGGUGGUAAUAAUUAUUGUUGUUAAUAACUUUUUUUUUUCUAGCAAUCACAAUUUUGUUGUCAAAUACUUACGGUCAUAA